rnacentral:lncRNA from 13 species
UUCCUCAUCAAGCCCUGGACACCACCUUCUCUGGGAUGCAACUGCCUCCCUCAGUGACCACGCAGGCAGUGCUCUAUGUGGACAGGCCAUUCAGGAAUGAGGCAGGGCGCUGGGGGGUAGGGGGAUGCCCUAGGAAAGACCAGCUUUGCUAGGAGGCCUUUGUCUGAAUUGGAAAUUAGAAAAUGGUCCACAAAAUCCCGAGUAUAAUCUCUUGACAAACACAUUUUGAGGUAUUUUUGUGUCAUCCUCCAGGACAUGAAAAUGUUUAAUUCUGAGAAUCUGGGUUUGGAAGGCCUGAUCGCGCUGUGGACGGCAUGAUGACCCCCAUGACCCACACGUACACCUCUGGAGGGCCUUCUGGAAUUAGAAAACCUGAAGUAGCCGGAAAAUUGUGACAAAUGGAAGGACCAUCAAUCCCUGCGGUGCGUAACUAACCCGAGACACUCUUCUAUUGCUUCUCAUUCCGGCCUCAAUUGACAAGGCCGCUGGACUUUGCAACCGACCUUGGCCAACCUCGUGACUCCACACCCUAUGACCCCCCUCCCAGCUUGCAAAAAAAUUGCCCUAAACUAUAACUCCUGUAACUUUCCACUGCCUUCCCCACAACCUAUAAAACCGACUGCUAUCCCACGCCCCUUCGCUGACUCUCUUUUCAGACUCAGCCUGCCCGCACCCAGAUGAAUAAAUAGCCAUGUUGCUCACACAAAGCCCAUUUGGCAGGUCUCUUUAUUUAGAGUGCAUGUUUUAACAUGUGGUGCUGACACAUGGGACAGGAGACCAGCCCUCUCUCCCUGCUCCCCCUCUGGAAGAGACCCACUGAGCCCUCAACACAUCAGACCGGCCCAGCGCAGCAGCUCACCCUUCCCAUGCCGAACAGCUCUCUUGCCACCUUCAGAUCAGGUGAUUAUCCUAGGGUCAAUCUUCCUCUACAAAUCAGAAAGGACACAUACUCAGAAGCUCGUAGUUGCGAGAUGUCCACGGCUUCCACUCGUGCUGCAUGCAGCCACCCAGGAACAGCACCAGCUUUUAGGGUGGCAGAGAAGGAUGAUUCAUUUGAGAUCAAGAGUUUGAGACAAGACUGGACAACGUAG